AGGACAAACGCUGGCGGCGUGCCUAAGACAUGCAAGUCGGACGGGAGGCUUCGGCCUCUAGUGGCGGACGGGUGAGGAACGCGUGGAGAACCUGCCCCGGGGUGGGGGAUACCCGCCAGAAAUGGCGGUUAAGACCGCAUACGACGGCACCGUGCAGGCGGUGUUGGAAAGC
rnacentral:rRNA from 1 species